GAUGAACGCUGGCGGCGUGCCUAAUACAUGCAAGUCGAACGCUGGAAAUCUAGCUUGCUAGAUUGAAGGAGUGGCGAACGGGUGAGUAAUACAUAAGCAACCUACCCACGAAGACUGGGAUAAUCUCUGGAAACGGGGACUAAUACCGGAUAGGUAAUCGGAAGGCAUCUUCUGAUUAUUAAAGGUUAAAAACACUGGUGGAUGGGCUUAUGGCGCAUUAGUUAGUUGGUGAGGUAACGGCCCACCAAGACGAUGAUGCGUAGCCGGCCUGAGAGGGUGAACGGCCAGAUUGGAACUGAGACACGGCCCAGACUCCUACGGGAGGCAGCAGUAGGGAAUGUUCGGCAAUGAGGGAAACCCUGACCGAGCAACGCCGCGUGAGUGAGGACGGCCUUCGGGUUGUAAAGCUCUGUUGUAAGGGAAGAACGGUAGAUAGAGAAUAUCUAAAUGACGGUACCUUACCAGAAAGCCACGGCUAACUACGUG
rnacentral:rRNA from 1 species